rnacentral:rRNA from 1 species
CAGUCGCCGCGGUAAGACAGAGGAUGCAAGCGUUAUCCGGAAUCAUUGGGUUUAAAGGGUCCGUAGGCGGUCUUGUAAGUCAGUGGUGAAAGCCCAUCGCUCAACGGUGGAACGGCCAUUGAUACUGCAGGACUUGAAUUAUUGGGAAGUAACUAGAAUAUGUAGUGUAGCGGUGAAAUGCUUAGAGAUUACAUGGAAUACCAAUUGCGAAGGCAGGUUACUACCAAUUGAUUGACGCUGAUGGACGAAAGCGUGGGUAGCGAACAGGAUUAGAUACCCGCGUAGUCCCUGUCUCUUAUAC